AGAAAAACAUUUUUUGUCUCCCAGUGAAAAUUCCUUAUAAAAUGCACUGUUCUGCGGUGAAUAUUAUUGUAUAGGUACUUUAGUACCUACCUACCUGCUUUUUUCCUGCAAUGGCAUUCGACACAGAAAAGUUUAUACUUGAGGUUCAAAUCGAAGAAUAUUUGUAGAAUAUACAGUCAAAAUCUUAUCAUGAUAAAAUAGAAAAAUAUGCGAGUUAAACAAAAGUAGCGACAUCUUGCUUGGAUGAUUUUAUAAAUUGUGAUGAAGACACAAAUAGAAAUCAAAGAAAUCAAUUACAUCAAUAUUUAUUAUUUUACAAAAAAAAAUGGAAGUCUCUUAAAAAUGCAUUCCGAAGAAAGUGUAUAACCAAGUCAGGGCAAGCUGCUAGUAAAACUCAAAAAUACAUAUUUUCAAAUAUUUUGGAAUUUUUGAGACCCACUAUGUUAAAUUGAUCAACUGAAAGUAACAUUGAACACAGUGAUGGUUUAAGUGAGUGCGAUAUUGAAGGAGACGAACAGGACUGGAACAAUGAAACAGUUCAUAGUCAUGGUGUUGAAUAUGCUGAAAAUGAACAGCAGAAUACAGGAAACCAGACAAAAAAACUAAAAAAAAAAUCUGUAGAUUUUGAAACACGUUUGUUGACAAUGUUAGAGGAGCGUAAAGAAGAAGUACAUUGCCCAGAAAAACUUUUUUUGCUAUCUCUUUUACCCAAAAUUAAAAUUCUUAUUGAAAAUCAAAAAACUCAACUGUAC
rnacentral:lncRNA from 1 species